rnacentral:rRNA from 1 species
UGAGUAACCUGCCCUUAACUCUGGGAUAAGCCUGGGAAACUGGGUCUAAUACCGGAUAUGACUCCUCAUCGCAUGGGUGGGGGGUGGAAAGCUUUUUGUGGUUUUGGAUGGACUCGCGGCCUAUCAGCUUGUUGGUGGGGUAAUGGCUCACCAAGGCGACGACGGGUAGCCGGCCUGAGAGGGUGACCGGCCACACUGGGACUGAGACACGGCCAGACUCCGUACGGGAGGCAG